rfam:Ixodes scapularis strain Wikel colony gcontig_1108378324876, whole genome shotgun sequence.
CCCUGGUUAGCUCAGUUGGUAGAGCGCUCCACUUGUAAUGGAGAGGUCCCGGGUUCGACACCGAGACCAGGCG